rnacentral:misc_RNA from 1 species
GAGAGAGAGAGAGAGAGAGAUGGAAGUAGUCCAAGUUCUUCGCAUGAAUGGAGGAAUUGGAGAAACAAGUUAUGCUCAAAAUUCAUUGGUUCAGCAAAAAGUGAUAUCGAUGACGAGGCCUAUCACUGAGGAAGCCAUCACAGACCUCUACUGUGGCACCUUCCCAAAGACUCUAGUCAUUGCAGACCUUGGAUGUUCUUCAGGACCAAACACUCUAUUUGCAGUGUCUGAAAUCAUCAAAGUGGUGGAAAAGCUUUGUGGAAAGCUGGGUCGUCAAUCACCAGAAUAUCAGGUGUUCUUGAAUGAUCUACCAGGGAAUGACUUCAACACCAUUUUCAGAUCCUUGCCAGGUUUCCAAGAAAGAAUGAAAAAACAAGCUGAAGCUGUAACUGGGCCAUGCUUUUUCAAUGGAGUCCCUGGUUCUUUCCAUGGCAGGCUUUUCCCUAGCAAUAGCUUGCAUUUUGUCCAUUCGUCUUAUAGUCUCCAAUGGUUGUCUCAGGUUCCUGAAGGCCUGGAGGAUAACAAAGGGAACAUUUAUAUGGCUAGCGGCAGUCCUCCAAGCGUUCUCAAGGCAUAUUAUCUCCAAUUUCAAAAAGAUUUUUCAUUAUUUUUGAAUUGUCGCUUCAAUGAGUUGGUGGUAGGAGGUCGUAUGGUUUUGACAUUUUUGGGUAGGAGAAGUCCAGAUCCUUCUAGCAAAGAGUGCUGCUACAUCUGGGAGCUUUUGGCUAUGGUUCUUAACGAAAUGGUCUUAGAGGGAAUCAUAGAGGAAGAGAAAUUUGAUUCCUUCAACAUUCCUCAGUAUACACCAUCCCCAUUUGAAGUGCAAUCCGAGAUUGAAAAGGAAGGGUCUUUUAUAAUUGAUCGGUUGGAGGUUUCUGAAGUCAAUUGGGAUGCUUAUCACAAUGAAUUUAACCUUGCUGAUGCAUUUAAAGAUGGUGGAUAUAAUGUUGCAAAGUGCAUGAGAGCUGUGGCUGAGCCCUUGCUUGUUGGACACUUUGGCUUCAGCGACGCGAUCAUCGAAGAUAUUUUCCGCCAGUACAGGGUAAUCGUGGCUGAUCGCAUGGCCAGAGAGAAGACUGAAUUUGUCAAUGUGAUUGUGGCUAUGACUAAGAAGGGAUGAUUACUGAAUUAGCUUAGUCAUAUGCAAUAUCUUUAGCUAGUGUGUUUUCUUCAUUUUA